UUCAUUUAGAUGUAUUGAAUUCUCCAUGUGGUCUAUAUUAAAGUUCCCCUCAUCUAAUAUAACAGGCUUUUAAAAUUCAAUAUUGAAGCAUAAUCUCUACUUAAAAUAUCAAAGGGACAUAUUCAUGCCUCUUGUAAGACCCUAUGAUUUUAUUAGACGGUUAUAAGUUUACGACUCAUUUUGAUGUUCUCAUUAACACAGGAGAGAGACAUGACUAUGGUGGAUCCUCUGGGGAGCUUCAACAACAUCCUGAUGCUGACGAGGCAGAGAAGAGUCUCUCCAGAUCAGAACACCAGAUGGUACAGCUUGGUCUGGUCUAGCAUACAGCUUGCUCUCUCUGGGUCUGGGCUGGGUUUCUGUAAAGCACUUCAUGACAACAGUGACAUCAGCAUCCAUAAUGAUAUGUGUCUGUGUCCCAUCUUUAUGGUUACCAGGACAACGCUAGCCCUUCCUCCCUCCCGGAGUCCCUGUAUCGUGCCUCUCCUGGUAGCACCUUACUGCUGGGUAUGAAGAGGUUGUCUGUGCUGCUGGUGGACUGCAGGAAAACAACGGGGCUGAGUGGAACUGUGAGAGGAGGAGAAGAGAAGAAAGGAUCAGAUUUGACACAUCAAAGAGAAAGACCAGACUCAGAGGAACCAGAGCCAGGGACGUCCAAACCAGCAAGACGACACCAGUGCUCCCAGUGUGAAAAGAGUUUUAAACAGAAAGCACAACUGAAACAACAUGAGAGCAUACACACAGGGGAGAAGCCUUACCACUGCUUCCAAUGUGGAAGGUGUUUCAACCAGUCGGGGGCGCUGAAACAGCAUGAGAGAAUACACACAGGAGAGAAGCCUUACCACUGCUCCCAAUGUGGAAAGUGUUUCACCCGGUCGGGGAAGCUGAAAGAACACGAGAGAAUACAUUUACAUUUACAUUUAAGUCAUUUAGCAGACGCUCUUAUCCAGAGCGACUUACAAAUUGGUGCGUUCACCUUAAGACAUCCAGUGGAACAGCCACUUUACAAUAGUGCAUCUAAAUCUUUUAAGGGGGGAGGGGGUGAGAAGGAUUACUUUAUCCUAUCCUAGGUAUUCCUGAAAGAGGUGGGGUUUCAGGUGU